rnacentral:rRNA from 1 species
UAAGGAAUAUUGGUCAAUGGACGCAAGUCUGAACCAGCCAUGCCGCGUGAAGGAUGAAGGUCCUCUGGAUUGUAAACUUCUUUUAUCUGGGACGAAAACGGGAUUUUUAUCUCAAUUGACGGUACCAGAGGAAUAAGCACCGGCUAACUCCGUGCCAGCAGCCGCGGUAAUACGGAGGGUGCGAGCGUUAUCCGGAAUUACUGGGUUUAAAGGGUGCGUAGGUGGGCUUAUAAGUCAGUGGUGAAAUCUCCGAGCUUAACUUGGAAACUGCCGUUGAUACUAUAGGUCUUGAAUUAUCUGGAGGUAAGCGGAAUAUGUCAUGUAGCGGUGAAAUGCUUAGAUAUGACAUAGAACACCAAUUGCGAAGGCAGCUUACUACAUAUAAAUUGACGCUGAGGCACGAAAGCGUGGGGAUCAAACA